AUCGUUUUAAUCUCCUCCAUUCGGUGAAUUAGAAAAAAUAAAUAAAUAGAAGUAUAAAGUAAAUAGAAAAAAAGGUGAGAAGCUUUUCCGUUCUUCUAUGUUUUCGGCGUUCAAGCAAAAAACUAAGUAAAGAGAAACAGGAUUUUCUUGGCCUUCAUCCUCAAACAGUGUAUCACCAUAGCCAAUUAGAGGGGAAAUUUGAUAAAAUUGAUAGUGAAAAAUCUAACCAAGGUGAGAGGCCAUUUUAUUAGCUAUAAUUCAGUGGUGAGAAAAGUUUGAGUAGCCUUGGUUUACUAGAAAGAGAGCUUGAAGGAGAUGAUGGAACCUUGUUUGAUCUCUUAAGUUUCGGUGAAAGUAAAAGGGGAUCAAGGAGCAAUGGCAUAUGUUCCUACGUAUCUGACGGACAACUUAAGGGAUCUUAGGCAGCAGAAACAAUGUGAACAUUGUUGGCCUUUCAACUCUAGGAAUUCUUUUGCCAAGUACCUUUGAGGAUUACGACUGGAGUCUUGGCAUUUUAUUACAAAGUAUGAUAGGCUUCCGAAUCGUGAAUGGCAAGUCCCACUCAGGUCCCUUCACAUGGUGCCCAUGUUCCGUCCAAACCUAAAGGAGCCUAUCUCUUACCUCGAUGGCAAUUUCUCUUCAUUCGACUAUGAGCUAGUCGAUAUUGGGUUUUCUGCAAGUAGUUAGAUUCGCUAGAUCGUUCCAGCAGCAUCCGAAGAAUCGAAGUUCAGCUCAAACAAUGUUGGUGAAAAUUUUACUUUAUAGUUGAUGUAAAUGGCAUGUACCUAGGCUUGUAUAUAUAUAAUACUAUGUCGUAAACUGAAUUUAAAUAUUUUCGUUAUGUUUUCUUUGCUAGUACUGCAUAACUAAUGUUUUGAUAAAAUAGUAAAGCGGGGAAAUCUAGUUUAUUGAAAUGUUUUGAGAAAUCGCAGUGCUAAGAAUUUAUUUGGGAGGUUAUUUAAAUGUGGAUAUUUUGUGAAAUCUAAAUUUUGUAGGGAGUUUUAUGUAAAAUAGGAAAAAAUGAUACUAAAAUUUUUAUAAAAUAAUUUUACCAAUACGUUUUCUUUUAAAAAAAUGGAAAAAUGAGUUGCUUCAACAACAAAAUGUGACAUUUUAUAUUCGAAUCUAACAACUAGGUCAGGUAUAAGGUGUCACAUUUGAGUGGUAUCAGAGCUAUCCAGAUUUGCUACCGGAUGAGUAAAAAAGUGUUGUAUUAUGUAUAUGAAGUCUAGUGUACAUGUCAUUAUUAAAUAUUCAGCUUGAGAUGAAAUCAAAUGCUGAAAUUGCUUUGUUUGAAAUUUUGUAUAGUAAAAUAAUCAAUAAAUCGGGAGAUAGUAUGGAACAAGAAUAGAAUACAAAAAUAGACCCAAUGCACUUGGUGAAGAUGAAUCUAGUGUUCAUCAGUCGCCAAGAAUUUCUAGACAAAGACAGUCGGCUCAAGGUGAUGAUCCAUUACUGCGUAUUAUUGCUGAUUUAUUACAAAGGGUUGUUGGUAUUACACCUCAACCUGCACCUCCCACUAGACAGAGAGGGUCUUUGAUUAAAAAAUUAAGAAAACAUAGGGCCACUGAGCUUAGAGGUGUGAAAAGUCUUGAUCCCUCUAUUGUUGAAGAAUGGUUAGAAUCAGUUGAAAGUAUAUUCGAACAAUUAUAAUGCACCUCAGCCAAGUGUUUGAAGUGUGUUGUGUCUCUACUGUAAGGAGAUGCCCUUUAUUGGUGGAGAACAGUGGUUUGUUCCCAUUGUGCAGAUCAGAUUAAUUGAGAGUUGUUUCAGAACGAGUUUAACAAGAAGUAUGCUGGAGAAUUGUAUUUAGAAGAAAGGAAGAAAGAGUUUAUUGGGCAUUUAUUUGUCUGUCCAGGUAUGAAUGAGAAUUUCUUCGCCGGUCCAAGUAUACUUCAGAAUUGGUUCUUACUGAUGAAGCUAGCUGCAAACAUUCUCAUAGGAUUACGAAAAUUGCUGAUAUGGUAGAAAGAGUGAAAAUGGUAGAGCAAACAAUGGGGUUAGAUAAAAAGAAAGUGGAUUAGUUCUAGCUCACAACCACCUUCCAAACAAGCUAGAGAUUUUAGAAGCCAAGCGAGAUCCACUACGCUUUAGAUUGGUGUUAAGGGUAGAAGUCGAUCUAGACAAUCAUCUGCUUUAAUAGUCAGAAUAGAUCAUUUUGGUCGUCCUGUUUGGAUACCACAGUGCGAUUAUUGUGGGAAGAGUCAUAAAGGAGAGUGUCAGCAUAAGACCGGAGUGUGUAUUAGAUGUGGUUCAAUGGAGCAUUAUUUUCGAAAUUGUUCAAAGUCGGUUGAUGUUACCCUUGUGUCAUUUUAGAGAUCAUCUUUUGCACUUCGAGGUCGUGGUAGUACUCGAGGUGGUGCUAGUGGAAAAGAUAGUCAGGGGAGAGUCACUAGUUCAUCUGCAAGUCGUGCAGAGGCUACUAUUCCUGCUAAAGUUUAUACUGUCAGGACUAGAGAGGAAGGAGAUGCCAUUGAUGUUGUUUUUGAUAUUCUUUUCUCUAUUUUUGUAUCUAUUCAUGUAUUGAUAGAUCCA